GCAGCAGUGAAGCACAGUGGUAAGGCACAGGGCUCAUAACCGAAAGGUUCCUGGUUCGAUUCCCCGCUGGGGCA